rnacentral:rRNA from 1 species
UUCCCAGACUCCUACGGGAGGCAGCAGUCGGGAAUAUUGCGCAAUGGAGGAAACUCUGACGCAGUGACGCCGCGUAUAGGAAGAAGGUCUUCGGAUUGUAAACUAUUGUCGUUAGGGAAGAGAAAGGACAGUACCUAAGGAGGAAGCUCCGGCUAACUACGUGCCAGCAGCCGCGGUAAUACGUAGGGAGCGAGCGUUAUCCGGAUUUAUUGGGUGUAAAGGGUGCGUAGACGGGAAAAUAAGUUAGCUGUGAAAUCCCUCGGCUCAACUGAGGAACUGCAACUAAAACUAUUUUUCUUGAGUGCAGGAGAGGAAAGUGGAAUUCCUAGUGUAGCGGUGAAAUGCGUAGAUAUUAGGAGGAACACCAGUGGCGAAGGCGGCUUUCUGGACUGAAACUGACGCUGAGGCUCGAAAGCGUGGGGAGCGAACAGGAUUAGAUACCCCGGUAA